CACAUUCACACUCGAUACACACAGUGAUAACCAUCUAUUGGCUCUCUCAUUAUCAUGUUUGUUGCAAGAAUCUCACGUACUUUGUUUUGAUGCAAGUUUGACAUCGACAGUAAUCAUGCUGGACACACAUGCACUGGUUCAUGAUUUCUUAAACAAGCUUAAAAGACGUAAGAUUGAGGGUUCAAAGGGCACAGCCAAGCUGACUGCAGAGCUUCUCCGUACUGUGAUAUCGCAGCAGCGUAUUCCCAACACAAACCAAGCUGGGGCUCUUGUUGAUGCCAUUAAGGCUAUUGGAGAGCAGCUUGUUGCUGCUAAUCCUGUGGAACUUGCUGUUGGCAAUGUUGUGAGGCGUGUUCUACAUAUCAUUAGGGAAGAGGAUCUUUCUCUCAUGACAUCUGCUAUUGGUGGGCCGAGCUUAUCAGUCAUUAGUGAUGAUGAAAACGAUGUUGAUCGAGAUGAUUACCCAGUUCUAUCAGCUGCUGCUGUUGCUGCUUCUGCUAGAAAUGCUUUGAGAGCUCCAUCCUUGCAGACCCUUCUAGAGGAUAUGUCUCAUUCUGCAGCUGUUCAUCACUCUUCCUCUUCUGUAGAUGAUUCUGAAGAAAAGACCAAAUCUACUGAUAAAAAUUCAAGGAGUCGAAAGCUAAAGCAUAAUGUUAUCGAGACUGUCAAUGAACUUAUACAAGAUAUUGCUGCCUGUCAUGAACAGAUUGCUGAGCAAGCAGUUGAGCAUAUUCAUCAUAAUGAGAUUAUAUUGACCUUAGGAAGUUCGAGAACUGUCAUUGAAUUUCUUUGUGCUGCAAAGGAGAAGAAGAGAUCAUUUCGGGUGUUUGUAGCAGAGGGCGCUCCAAGAUAUGAAGGACAUAUUCUUGCAAAGGAAUUGAUAGGCAGGGGACUACAAACAACAGUAAUUACCGAUUCUGCUGUAUUUGCCAUGAUUUCUCGUGUGAACAUGGUUAUUGUUGGGGCUCAUGCUGUCAUGGCAAAUGGUGGAGUGAUUGCACCUGUUGGAUUAAAUAUGGUUGCACUAGCAGCUCAAAGGCAUGCUGUCCCUUUUGUUGUUCUUGCUGGCAUUCAUAAGUUGUGUCCCCUGUAUCCUCACAAACCAGAGGUUUUAUUAAAUGAACUGAGGGCCCCAUCUGAGUUACUGGAUUUCGGAGAGUUCUCGAACUGCAUGGAUUCCAGUACAGGCACUGGUUUCCCCCUUCUUCAUGUUGCAAAUCCUGCAUUCGACUAUGUGCCGCCAAAGCUCGUCAGCCUAUUUAUUACUGACAAUGGAGGGCACAACCCAUCAUACAUGUAUCGGCUCAUUGCAGAUUAUUACUCCGCUGAUGAUUUGGUCUUACAACGGAAGCCUGCUUCUUGAUAUUGCUUUAUCCAUGUCAUUUUUUCAUUCAUGAUGAAAAUCUAGAGAAGCUGCAUACGAAGAUUUGUCUUAAAAAAUCCUCUCAAGAUGUGGAACCUGCAUUGAAUUUUCGAUCUCAAAAUGCUUCUUAUUACAGUUUUUGUUUUGCAAGCUGAGGUCUUCAUGGAAAGAGCCUCUUUACCUUUUGAGGCAGAAGCAAGAUCUGCAUACAUCCUACUGUAGACCCUACAUCUGUGUGGAAUUAACUGGGUUUUUAUGGUUUGAUUUGGUUUACAAGCCUCUUUGCAAAGUGUUACAGGGUCCUACAGACAAUUGCACAAUGUGUUGAACCAGAUCUAUAUCUUCAGUUUGUUUAUUUUGAUCAAAGAAACAUGUGAGGCACCUUUCAAAUUUACCAAAUUUGCCCCAAUAUAUAUUGCUACUUCUAGAAUUUAACAUUAUUUCAUCAUGUAUGAUGGGUACACUUUUUGUUGCUUGAUAUUAAUCCGGAAACGUUAUUCGUGCAUGUCAAAUGUAUCGGCACCAAGGACGCUUGUUUAUUUUUAGAAUCUAUUCUAUAAACGUUUGCCGAUGUCUUGUUUUAGUUGUAGUCGUGGUCUAUAGGGUCCAAGUACGUAACUAUGGCAUUAUUGAAAGUCAUGUUUGGUUGUUUAUAAGGUGGUUUAGAGCCUCUUUCAAUGAGAACUGCAAAUAUUUUGAGAACCAUCGAACUAUGUUUUAGCGUAUAUAUUCAUUCUCAGUGACACAAUACAAAAUAUUCAUUGAUGAAAUUAUACAUACCUUGAUGAAAUUUGUAUGAUAUAUACAUAUUAAUGAAUUUACACUAUAAAAU